rnacentral:rRNA from 1 species
GACGAACGCUGGCGGCGUGCUUAACACAUGCAAGUCGAACGAAGAGCGAUGGAAGCUUGCUUCUGUCAAUCUUAGUGGCGCACGGGUGAGUAACGCGUAAUCAACCUGCCCUUCAGAGGGGGACAACAGUUGGAAACGACUGCUAAUACCGCAUACGAUCUAAUCUCGGCAUCGAGGAUAGAUGAAAGGUGGCCUCUACAUGUAAGCUAUCACUGAAGGAGGGGAUUGCGUCUGAUUAGCUAGUUGGAGGGGUAACGGCCCACCAAGGCGAUGAUCAGUAGCCGGUCUGAGAGGAUGAACGGCCACAUUGGGACUGAGACACGGCCCAGACUCCUACGGGAGGCAGCAGUGGGGAAUCUUCCGCAAUGGACGAAAGUCUGACGGAGCAACGCCGCGUGAGUGAUGACGGCCUUCGGGUUGUAAAGCUCUGUUAAUCGGGACGAAAGGCCUUCUUGCGAAUAGGGAGAAGGAUUGACGGUACCGGAAUAGAAAGCCACGGCUAACUACGUG